UGGAACAAUGAUGGUUGAAUCAACAUGC
rnacentral:piRNA from 1 species